rnacentral:rRNA from 1 species
UACGUAGGGGGCUAGCGUUAUCCGGAAUUACUGGGCGUAAAGGGUGCGUAGGUGGUUUCUUAAGUCAGAGGUGAAAGGCUACGGCUCAACCGUAGUAAGCCUUUGAAACUGGGAAACUUGAGUGCAGGAGAGGAGAGUGGAAUUCCUAGUGUAGCGGUGAAAUGCGUAGAUAUUAGGAGGAACACCAGUUGCGAAGGCGGCUCUCUGGACUGUAACUGACACUGAGGCACGAAAGCGUGCGGAGCAAACAGG